rnacentral:tRNA from 1 species
GGGCGGUUGGCGCAGUUGGUAGCGCGUCCGGUUUACAUCCGGAAGGUCAUAGGUUCGAAUCCUAUACCGCCCA